UACGUAGGGUGCGAGCGUUAAUCGGAAUUACUGGGCGUAAAGCGUGCGCAGGCGGUUUUGUAAGCCAGAUGUGAAAGCCCCGGGCUUAACCUGGGAAUGGCACUUGGGACUGCAAGGCUGGAGUGUGGCAGAGGAGACUGGAAUUCCUGGUGUAGCAGUGAAAUGCGUAGAUAUCAGGAGGAAUACCGAUGGCGAAGGCAGGUCUCUGGGCUGACACUGACGCUCAUGCACGAAAGCGUGGGGAGCAAACAGG
rnacentral:rRNA from 1 species